UCGGGACCCGGUGUCUGGGCUGCCAGCGAGUUCCCAGAACCCUGGCGUCCACCCCCACCCAGUCCCGUCAGCACCGUUUGCCUCCUCCACCGGCUGCUCCCGGGACCCGGGCGUGCCGAGCACCGGCUCCACGCCUCUUCUCUCCAGCUCAAUCACGCGAGUCCAGUGCCCUGGUCCCCGCUCUCAUGGAACCCAGACAUAGCCGGCCAUCCUGACCCCGCUCUGACCGCAUGGAUAGACAAUCUCGGCACAAAACGGAGACAGCCCAAGAACCUGGUCCAGCUCCUUGGAGCGGAAGCGAGACGUGGAGAAGGGGAUCCCUGAGGCGCAGAGACGAGUUAACUGUCAGGGGAGUGGUCAGGGCAGACCCUUUUCCUUGUGAAGAAGUUCUUGUGGGCACCACCCUCCUAGAACUGAGGCCCAGGAACUCCACUUCUGACACUUGGGCCCUGACUCUGAUCUCCAGUCAACAUACCUUCCCUGGGCCAGGAAGCCCAUGGUUGCUGGACUUGGAGGGAAGGCUGAAGGGAGACUUGUCUUAUGAGAAAGAGGCCUCUUUCAGACCUGGGGAAGAGGAUUCGUGUAAAAAUGCAUGUUGGAGAGUCACGAAAAGUAUGGCUGGAGAGGCCACGGCUGGAUUGUCCCUCUUAUUUCGGUUCUCCAAAUGCUCCAUUUUCCUCUCCACAGUCCUUUCUGCAAAACACUUUCUUUGAAUAUUUGGUUUAUCACUCUUUCUAGUCCUCACUUUCCCGCCUCUCUAAAACUCUAAUCUCUGAGUUCCUAAUUUAGCCCUCUGUCUGGUCCCCCGCCCCAGCAAUUUCUUGGCGCUUUCACAGUUCGAGUUACCUCUCCCGGACUUCCCCUGUCAUUUGUCUCUAAGCCCCGCCUUCGCGCCCUCUCCUUCGGCCCCACCUUCCUUUCUCGGAGCUCAUCCUCAAUCCCUCCCGCUCACCCGGACCACCGGACUCCGGGAUCCCUCCAAGAAGUGGCCGAAGGGAGGUAAAGCGCACGAACUCCACUCCGGUGCCAAAGGCCAGGAUGAAAGAGGCGAGGGCCGCAGGAACCAGGAGAAGUGCAGGGGCCAUGGCGAGAAACAGAGGGGUGGGGAAAGGGGCGGGUUUGGGAUUCCCGCGGGCGCAGGCCCCGCCCUCGGCCCCGCCUCCCACUUGGGAUCCUGCCCAGGAGGGCGGGGCUCCUGCGUGCUGUCUCCCGGCUUCCGGUCCGGCCCGCUCCUCUCUCCCCAGCCCAGCUGCAGGCCGCGUGCGGGGAUUUCUUUCCGGAGCCUGCAAUCUUCGCGUCACAGAAGAGAGUGUUAUAAUCCCGAGAGAGAGAAGUGUUAAAGGCAGCUGCUCUGCGGCCGCUCACGUGGGUUGAAGCCUUGCUCGGCUAGUUUUCCCAUCUAAUAUGAAGACAAUUCCUCUCUUGCAGGGUACUUGUGGAAACAGAACAUUAUGAGCUCCCCUUUUCUUUAACUUAACCGUGGCUAGAAAAUAAGCGGAGUCAGAGAUUAGAAAACCUCACUUUAUUAAUCAACGGUGAGAGCCAAUUGACCCAGGCUGAGAACCCAAAGCUCUGAAUCACCUGUUACAUCUUGUCAGAUUUUUAAAAAAAUGACUUUACCUCAAAAAAUAAAUAAUGCUUACUCUGUAACUCAGAAGGUUGAGUUGUUGCCUCUCCACAUGCUAAGAAUAGCAAAGAACUUGGUAACACUGAAAGUUUUUUUCUAGUAGUUCCAAAGAUUGUUGAUUUGUA